rnacentral:lncRNA from 1 species
CUGGCGGCCGUCGGUUGCCAUGUCAACGGAGGGUGGCGGGGACCGGGGGAGGCGGAGGCGGGGGCCGUUCUCUCCUCCCAGGGCCGGAGGACGCUCCCUCCGCGCCUCCCGCCUUCGCCUCUGUGGGGGCACUCCGAGCCGGGGAGGAAGGGGCUUUCCGCUGCAGCCGACAUGUGGGGGUAAACUGAGGCACGCGGCAGGGCGCCCGCAGCCAGGUGCCGAGCGCGGGGCCCCACCUCCGAAGGCGGAGGAGGGGCCGCGGGCGGUGACGCGCCGAGGGCGGCCGGCGGACAGCGAGCGGGCGGGCGGUGGCGGCGGCGGC